GUAAUCUUAAAAUAAUCUACACACACAUAACUGUGAUUAUUAUUAUUUGUUUUACUAUUAGGCUGCACUACAUUUGCUGAGUAAUGAAGUUGUGUCAUUAAGAGCUUGACGAAGUGAGGACCUGUAUUAGUGAUUAAGAGUUUGUGUAAUAAUCACUGAAUAUACGCCAUAUGAAACUAUUGAUUGUUUGUUGAAUAAGGCCUUUGGUCUGGGUUUGAGUCCUAGAAUAUUGUUUGUUGAAUAAGGCCUUUGGUCUGGGAUUGAGUCCUAGAAUAUUGUUUGUUGAAUAAGGCCUUUGGUCUGGGUUUGAGUCCUAGAAUAUUGUUUGUUGAAUAAGGCCUUUGGUCUGGGUUUGAGUCCUAGAAUAUUGUUUGUUGAAUAAGGCCUUUGAGCUGGGAUUGAGUCCUAGAAUAUUGUAAUAGCAUGUCAUUCAAGUGAUUUGUUCAUCUUUGCUAGUUUGUCAAUGUUGAUACGUGUCCUGAAUAUAACUUAAGACGUCUGGUUUGCUCAGGGCUUUUGUUUUACGACUUGUUGGACAAGGAGUGAAACCGUAUUUGUAUUGAAUUCACUGGUGAGGUUACAUGAAUCGCUAGAGUUUUUGUUUGUGCUAUGUUGUUUUGAUCCCGCCGAGGAAUCAGAUAUUGUUUUGAUCCCCGCCGAGGAAUCACAUAUAUUGUUUUUAAUCGAAGAAGGAAAAAGUGUGCCAUCAUCUGUUGUUGGCAUACCGAGCUCCGUGGGAGGCGUCUAUUUGUUUCUUUCUAAACAGCGAUUGGUCGCUAGUUUUAGUUACUCUACAGAUAGAAAAAGAUAGAAAAAAUGCCGAAAGGUAAAGGCAGGAAGAAGGCAGAGGAGGAGGAAGAGGAUAGCAAUCUGAACCAAAGGAACAAGAUGUUUUUGAAGUGGAGGUUAGAGAGAUUGAUCUUUAUUCAGUUAGCGAGACUCUGUAACAAAAAGAGAGAUGAAUUGGAAAAGACAACUGCUCUGAAAAAAAUUAGAGAGCAAAUCAAACUGCUUGCCGACGAAAUUCGUUUGUUCAAGGAUGAAGCGACUCGGAACAAAGAGCAGAGGAAGUUCACAGACCUACACACGACGCUAGUCGGAGAAGGACUGAUAGCGGCCCGCCCCCUCGACUCAGGGCCCCCAAGGGGGGGUGACCAAGGAAAAGGAGGAGGAACCUUGGGAGUCUAUGGUCGCAUGUACCCCAAACUGCCAUUGUGUGGCCCAGAUGGGGAAUACAUCUUCCCUGGUGGUUUACAGGAGUCGAGACACAGUGAUCCGGUCAUCUGCAGUACCCCCCCACGUGCCACGGAAGGGAAAUCCAUCUGCCCCACCUGACUAUGCUAAUCAUGAUGCGAUCCAGAUCCCACAACAACCCCCCGAGAUCCAGGAGACACGGACACUUGUUGAGUCCUUGGGAGGAGUCCUUGAACUGAACUGUGUCUGUGUUUGUCCUGACGCCCUACUACGAACUUUCAUCCUCAUCCCCCACCACACCUGCGGUGGCCAUCAACUGGAAAAUAACUCUGUUGCAACUGCUACUCAAAACCAACUGUCAUGCAGUAUUGUCUGUGAUGUUGUGCCAAGCAGAGGGAGGUGUCUCGACAGUUGACUUUCUUGAUUCUUUAAAAAUGUUUUAAUCAUGAGUAACCUAAUGAGUUUGUUAUUUUCUUUAUUAUAGUGGCCUACACCUGGUUUACUUGUGUAUGAUUUGAAUUUACUUGUCCUAUUGCCUUUUAUGCUUUCUUUCAUUGAUUUAGUUAAUUAUUAAUGGGUCACCAGAAAAUACACUGAAUUCUCUUUUUGUGGGUGAUCUUUAAACUAUGUUUAGUAUGAUCAAGAGGGAGGAAUGUAGAAUGUUGGUGUAUUUUAGUGUCUCUCUGUUGUUCACAUUUCUAGUCUAGGAACAGGCCAGGGCCUCCUCCCGCUGCUCCGCCGCCGGAGGAGUCUGCAUACGACCGAGAGGUCGGAACAAUGGAGCGUGGGCGAAAUGGACCCGAAGUGAACUGACAGCUGUCCCGCAUACAGCAACAAUCCCUUUCUCCUCUAUGUUGCGUUUCAAUAUGGACUUCAGAGAGUCAAAGCCAAAGUUCCUUUACCCCAAUUCCUUCUCCACCAUGGCCGAGAUAACCCUCACUACAAGUCUUUACGUGUUGCUGAAGUACCCGAGUCGUAGAACCUGACGCAGUAUUUAAGAUUCAUAAUAUCAGAGAAUAUCCCCGUACCGGGUAAAAAAAUGCUUUGGCCAAUUAAUUGAUUAUCUCACCGCCAUGUAUACUUAGACAAUUGCAGUUGUCCGAUUGAGGAGCAUAAUCGAACUAUGGCCUUAAUCUGAUUAAGAUGUGCAUGUCAAAGUACUGAUUGUCCAUUUAUACCAACACACAGAUUAAUAUACGCUACUUUAGUUUCAGGGACUAGUUAAGACUUAUUGCUUUCCCCAGUGUGUUUUCAGGUAUGUGUGCGUGU
ensembl:lncRNA